CGUCAGGUAGCUCAGUGGUUUAGAGCAGUCGCCCGGCAAGCGAAAGACCCGGGUUCGAUCCUCGGCCUAGCGA
rnacentral:tRNA from 1 species